rnacentral:rRNA from 1 species
UACGGAGGGUGCAAGCGUUAUUCGGAAUUACUGGGCGUAAAGGGCGUGUAGGCGGCUUGUUAAGUCUGGUGUGAAAUCCCACGACUCAAUCGUGGAAGUGCAUUGGAUACUGGCGGGCUAGAGUACAGGAGAGGAGGGUGGAAUUCCUGGUGUAGAGGUGAAAUUCGUAGAUAUCAGGAGGAACAACAGUGGCGAAGGCGGCUCUCUGGACUGUAACUGACGCUGAGACGCGAAAGCGUGGGGAGCAAACAGG